ensembl:snRNA U6 U6 spliceosomal RNA
GUGCUCACUUUGGCAGCACAUAUACUAAAAUUGGAACAAUAUAGAGAAGAUUAGUGUGGCCCCUGUGCAGGAUGACCCGCAAAUUCAUGAAGCAUCCCAUACUUAC